rnacentral:rRNA from 1 species
GACGAACGCUGGCGGCGUGCUUAACACAUGCAAGUCGAACGCUGAAGCCCUUUCGGGGGUGGAUGAGUGGCGAACGGGUGAGUAACACGUGGGUAAUCUGCCCUGCACUCUGGGAUAAGCCUUGGAAACGGGGUCUAAUACCGGAUAGGACACAUCGCCGCAUGGUGUGUGUGUGGAAAGUUCCGGCGGUGCAGGUUGAGCCCGCGGCCUAUCAGCUUGUUGGUGGGGUGAUGGCCUACCAAGGCGACGACGGGUAGCCGGCCUGAGAGGGUGACCGGCCACACGGGGACUGAGACACGGCCUAGACUGCUACGGGAGGCAGCAGUGGGGAAUCUUGCGCAAUGGGCGAAAGCCUGACGCAGCAACGCCGCGUGGGGGAUGACGGCCUUCGGGUUGUAAACCUCUUUCGACCGGGACGAAGGGUGACUGACGGUACCGGUAGAAGAAGCACCGGCUAACUACGUGCCAGCCGCCGCCGUAA